GAUGAACGCUGGCGGCGUGCCUAAUACAUGCAAGUCGAGCGAACGGACGAGAAGCUUGCUUCUCUGAUGUUAGCGGCGGACGGGUGAGUAACACGUGGAUAACCUACCUAUAAGACUGGGAUAACUUCGGGAAACCGGAGCUAAUACCGGAUAAUAUUUUGAACCGCAUGGUUCAAAAGUAAAAGACGGUCUUGCUGUCACUUAUAGAUGGAUCCGCGCUGCAUUAGCUAGUUGGUAAGGUAACGGCUUACCAAGGCAACGAUGCAUAGCCGACCUGAGAGGGUGAUCGGCCACACUGGAACUGAGACACGGUCCGGACUCCUACGGGAGGCAGCAGUAGGGAAUCUUCCGCAAUGGGCGAAAGCCUGACGGAGCAACGCCGCGUGAGUGAUGAAGGUCUUCGGAUCGUAAAACUCUGUUAUUAGGGAAGAACAUAUGUGUAAGUAACUGUGCACAUCUUGACGGUACCUAAUCAGAAAGCCACGGCUAACUACGUG
rnacentral:rRNA from 1 species